CUUCCAGACUCCUACGGGAGGCAGCAGUGGGGAAUAUUGGGCAAUGGAGGCAACUCUGACCCAGCAACGCCGCGUGAAUGAUGAAGGUCUUCGGAUUGUAAAGUUCUUUUCUAAGGGAAGAAGAAAGUGACGGUACCUUAGGAAUAAGCCACGGCUAACUACGUGCCAGCAGCCGCGGUAAUACGUAGGUGGCAAGCGUUGUCCGGAUUUACUGGGUGUAAAGGGCGUGUAGCCGGGUUGACAAGUCAGAUGUGAAAUCCUGCGGCUUAACCGCAGAACUGCAUUUGAAACUGUUGAUCUUGAGUACUGGAGAGGCAGACGGAAUUCCUAGUGUAGCGGUGAAAUGCGUAGAUAUUAGGAGGAACACCAGUGGCGAAGGCGGUCUGCUGGACAGCAACUGACGGUGAGGCGCGAAAGCGUGGGGAGCAAACAGGAUUAGAUACCCCUGUA
rnacentral:rRNA from 1 species